GAAGAAUCCAAAAGAAAAAGAACAUAUGAAUGAGGACGCAGUUAUACGAAAUGAGGGGAUGUGUGAAAUUAAGGUCUUCUAUUCUAGGCAGACCCACGCGACCAUAACUCCUACUGCAGUCAUCGCCACCUGGGCAUUAAAUACUGAUUCUUUUCCAGCCAGAUAUGCCAUCUUUGCACUCUCUGUUGAGAAGGAAUAACUGGACAAAGAACAGAUUGAUUCCACGCCCUUUUCCUACACAUGAAAAUAAUGCAUAAGAUAGUGCAGAAAAUAUUCAGAAUUCAAGGAGGUGAGUCACAGGGAUUUUUCAGAAGAAUUUUUUUUUAAGCUAAUGUUAAGCCAUAAACAGAAGUUACCUGUACUUGUUCCACAACCCUCCUUGGUAAGGGUUGCUUUUUUUUUUUUUUUUUAAUUAAAAAUUCUAAGAGUGAAGACAGCUCUUCCUACCUCUCCUGCCGCCACAGGCCUGCUCCCUUCUAAGGAAAGACAGAUAAGUAGCCAAAUUACAUAUUCAAGUCACUGCAUGCUCUGACUCCCUUUGCUGGAACUAAGUGACAAGUGAUACUCUUUGUGGGAGUCAAGUGUUCCAGCCAAAAUGAAAGGGAAUGGGAAGUCCAGAAAUUUGAGAAUUUUCAGGGUUGGAAGAAGGGACUACUUUUCAGGCCCAACCGAGAAUAUAAAAUGCAGAGAACCUUUGUGUGACCAAGGCCAAUAAGAAUUUAUCCUUUGGGCAAGGAUUAAAUCAAGGGUGUAACCAUCACAUCCCUUUGUAAAACCUUUUAAUGGAUUAAGGCAAAGGCAAGUUAAUCCUUUCAGUUAGAUGGAAUGAUCUGGAACAGUGGUAGGGGGGAGGGGAAGGAUAUUAACAGUGUGGUUCUCCCACUGGAGCUUGAUAAACUUAGGAAUGUUCAGUUAAGCCCAGCAGAAUCAUGGGACAAAAAAACCCAAAAAGUAUAGAAAACCUCAAAAAGUGUAACUAGAAGUGUGGGAUGGGAUUAUUGGCGUUUUCAUUUAACUGGACCAAAUAGGUAAGAAGUUGACCAGAGUGGUGACAAAAGAACCAACAUCUUAGACUAAAAGAUAAGAUAUAAAAUCGUCCUUAGUCUCCAACCUUCUGUCAGCAGGAGGAAAGUGCUUAAGAAAGCUACUCAAUCCCCAAGGAAGGCAUAUUCUCCAGUGAUCUUUUCAAACAUAGCUGA
rnacentral:lncRNA from 1 species